rnacentral:rRNA from 1 species
AGUGAACGCUGGCGGUAGGCCAACACAUGCAAGUCGAACGGCAGCACAGGAGAGCUUGCUCUCUGGGUGGCGAGUGGCGGACGGGUGGGGAAUACAUCGGAAUCUACUCUGUCGUGGGGGAUAACGUAGGGAAACUUACGCUAAUACCGCAUACGACCUACGGGUGAAAGCAGGGGACCUUCGGGCCUUGCGCGAUUGAAUGAGCCGAUGUCGGAUUAGCUAGUUGGCGGGGUAAAGGCCCACCAAGGCGACGAUCCGUAGCUGGUCUGAGUGGAGUAUCAGCCACACUGGAACUGAGACACGGGCCAGACUCCUACGGGAGGCAGCAGUGGGGAAUAUUGGACAAUGGGCGCAAGCCUGAUCCAGCCAUACCGCGUGGGUGAAGAAGGCCUUCGGGUUGUAAAGCCCUUUUGUUGGGAAAGAAAUCCAGCUGGCUAAUACCCGGUUGGGAUGACGGUACCCAAAGAAUAAGCACCGGCUAACUUCGUGCCAGCCGCCGCCGUAA